UUUUUUUUUUUGCUUGUGCUUAUUAAAUAGCAAGGGUGUUUACUCAGGAUUUGGGGAUCAGUUGUAGCCAUGUUGAAUUUGGCAAACUGAGCUGUGUGCCCUGAAAGCCCUCUUUUUAUUUCUUCAUUUCCAUAUUGUCUGACUUACUUCACCUAGGAAUACCUGAGUUAUCCAGUCCAGUGUUCCCUGAUGAGAGUGGAAGAUUUUCCUGGAGAGGCAGCUGUGCAUGGCCAGGUCAUCUGUCAGGAUGUUGUGGUGGUGUGUGAUCAGAGCAGAGGGCCUUUCUUUUCCUGUACUGUGCUCUACUUCCUUAUGCAUGCUUGGUUUCAAAGAUGACCGCCACUUUAAAAGAAAGAUUUCCUCACAGCUCUCCAGAGAACUAUCAUACUAAGGUGAUAGGAAAGGCUUCUCGGAUACAAGCCAACAAGUCAGUUUUCUGAUUACAGAAACUCCUCUCACAGGUUAUGUUUGGAAAGGCUGUUCUCCAUUCCACUUAUAAAUUGAAAGUGAUAAGCUACUGUCUUGUGACAAGUCCAUGUUCUCUCCCUCCCGCUCUUCCUCCUGUCUCUUCCAUGCUCCCUGUUGCACGGGACAUCAUGUGGGCUUGAUGCCGUACACAGUCCCUGACCAUGGCCCCCUACUCUUCUCCAGAAGUGUCACACUAGACAGGAGCUGCUGAGUCACCAACUCACCUUUCCCUAGAAUGUGGGUUUGUUUUUUCUCCCCCAUCACUUGCAGAGGUCUUUUUUCAAUUAUAUGAUCAAGAAUGAGUCUACAAGAAUACCAGCACCAGACAUAGUGCCAAAUGGCCUUUUGUAAGCUGUUUCGUGCCCUUGAGGCUCGCACUUGUGCUGGGUGAGCCCAGGACCGUUAGCCUUUUCUUUUCUAGGUCUGGACACUCCGGGGUUGGUUAGGCUAGCCACUGGGGAGAAUACAGCUCUGGCCUUUUUUCAUAUUUUGCUGCUUCUCUUUGUACAGAUCUUUCCCCCUCCACAUACCAAAAGGAAUCCUAACCUAGUUGAAAUGCUAGUUGCAAUUCAGUUUCAUGAGAAUGCUGAAGUAGGCUGCUGAUUUAAAAUUUUCCUCUUCCCUGAAAAUACACACACCUAGAGAAUUUAGGGAAAGGCUCUUAGGGCUUGGGAAUCUUAUCUUUUCAUUCCCCACAAAAUACCUACAAAGAAAUGUCUAGUAUUCCCUCAGUAUUCCUCCUCGUAUAGGCUCUGAAAGCAACCUCAUUCCCACCCAGCCCUUGCACACCGGCAUUCAAGAUCCAUGCAUGCAGUUGUUGAAACUGUUUUCUUUGGGAUCCUAUCUUUAUGACAACUGGAAUGAUUGUAGAUUUAUGACCUCAAAGAGUAGAGCAUUCCUUUUCCUAUUUUCCCAGCUGCUAAAAUAUGACUGUCUCCAUUAGAAUUUAGAAUCCGUCUUAAGCUUAGAGAUGGUAAGAGCUGACUGGAUGAGUCUAAUUCUAUGAUUUGUGAGACAUGCAUUAAAACCGUCAGCAGAACAUUCUGAUGAUCCACCUACACUCAAAGAAAACACAAUUAACACCACAGUUAAAACCUUCUAAUGGAGCCCCUGUCUUAGGGAUCAAGGUAUUAGAGGUGCUGCUUCAGGGAUGGUGCUACUUCAAAAGAACUGAAGUUGGAGAGACACCUCCCUUCCCAAAUGCUUCUGCAGGCCACUCUGGUGAUUCAGAAAACCCCAACCAUAUAUUCCUUUACCAGCAGCGCCCACCCUUUUCCGUAACUCAGCUUACCAAAAUCAGUGAAAAUUGAGACAGUGCUUACCCAUGAAAUAUGUGGUUUUUGAACAAAAACCCCAGAAGUUAGUUAUUCUUAUAGGAAACUAAAGAUGCCACCAUUGUAAAUCAUAAUACUACAGAGACAAAUGCACAGGUCUCCCAACCACCUCAAAGUCAAUACAGCCCAUGUUUUCUGAGCACGUACUGUGUGCUGGGCACCGUGCUGGACAUGUGUGCUGCCUCAUGACCCGACACCAAGCAAGUCACCUUGCCCUUGGCAAGGCAAGUCUCCCCUCAUUUCUUUCAUUUCAGUAGGACGUUCAUCUUCAAAGAACAGACCACAUAGGAUGGUCUGCCCUCUCUGAACACUAACCUGGUUUGCUUUCUCACGCAGCAGUGCCAGGUAGCCUCCCAGGCGCACUGUGGCAUCGCCCCCGCCUCUGUGAGCUGAACUCCCUCCGUGAGGGUCUGGACGUGAGGGCCCCUCCAGAGUCUUCCUCCCUGGUCAGUGAUGAUGACAGGAGUGCAGGGAGGUGCCGCAGUGGUUGACAGGGUGGGAAGCCUGUGUGGCCGAGGGGAACUUGAACUCCGGCACCCCUUGCCUGCAGUUAGCCAAGGCAGAGACCAGGAAACCCUCUUGCACUUCCCAUCUUCUCUCUCCAGCUCUUGUAGCGCUACCCUGGCCGUUCCUUCGGGGCUCCUGCUCGGCUGCUGUGUGUGUUAGUCUUCAUGUUUCCCCUUGGCGUCUCCUCUGGUCCCUGUCCAUCUUGUGCACCAUGUGUCCCUGAGGGCGAGUCACACCUGUGUCUUGAGUCUGCUGUAAGGUGUUCAGUCUACCUCAAGGGGUCAUCAUGGUAAGCUCUAUCCCACGGCAUCCUCCGUCCAUCACCACACACACUGGAAUGUAUCCCCCCCGCCCUGCCCCUUCGAUAACCUCCUGACCUUGUCUUUCCUAUAAUCACCACAAACUCCUAGUGCAAAUUGGAUGCUGCUUUAAAUGUGAAAACAAUUGUUCAAAAGCUAUAAAACCUGAAUGAAAGCUGAAGCUGAAUUUAUAAGCCUUGUUGCAUAUGAGCCAAAAGUGCAAAAAGCUCUAUAUAAUGAACUAACCUGCCACUCGUAUAAAUAUAAAUAUAUAUAAAUAUAUUAAAAUCAGACUGUUCUACAAAAUUGUGUAUUUGUAUUUUUGUGUACGUACAAUUUUCUGCUAAGCAGAAGGAGGAUGUAGUAUAGGAUGCUGUGAGAAGAGAUUUGGUUUAAUCCUAUUUCUUUGUUACUUAUUUUUGUUAACAUCAGAUGCCUGUCUUUGUCUUAUAUGUGUAUGACACUGUUUGGAAAGCUGCAGUAUCUCUCUUCCUGAGGUCCAGAGGCCAUUAAAGAAUAAACAUGGGGCUUAGAGGUGUCUUGGCCACCAAACACAGGUAAGCCAACAGAGUUCGGCUCCCGUACGUGGUGUGGUGGGACCUGGGGCCUGGAGCCACUUGUACUCCUGGGGUGGGACUGAGGGAGGGAAAGGGCUCCCCCACUUCAGGCUGGUCACUGUAUGUUGACUUCCCUCUGGGAAGCAAAAUUCCACUUGUAAAAAUCAGCUUCCAAGACAAAAGAUGAUCCGAUGUCACUUCUGGGUCACCAGGAAGGGACACAGGAUCUCUCUGAACUUUGGAACAGACCCUCAUAUUCUGGGGCCAGAAGUUUGCCCAGAAAGCAGCAGGUGGCUCUGCCUGGCUGUAGAGCCCAGCUCAUUGGCUGUCCCUGGGCUUCGUCUCCCUCUUCCGAGUAGUUGCUGCCUUUCUUCAGAUCAGGUUACCACAAUGCCUCCCCGCUGCUGACGCUUCAUCCCCCACACCUCCAGCCCCAGUUACCUGGAGCUUCUCAGAACCCACUUUGCCGGUGCUAAAACACAAGAGGGGGUGAAAGUGGCUGCCAGUAAUGGCCAGAAACCAACCACCAGAGGCCAGGCUGAAAGACAAGCUCCGGGUGUCCAGGGGCUGACGGGCCAACCAUGUGGCAGGUCCCAGGCCCCACCCACUGCGCCAUCCGCCUCUGAGCUCCACAGUGGUCCCACUAAUGGGAACCUCCUCUAGGGAGAGUGAUACUGCACCUUCACCCGUAGGACUCAUAUUUAUAACAAUGUGUAAUGGCUGUAGCAAAAAGCCCUUGUUUCUAGAUGUAAAUGGUCAAAGAAACAAGCGCUCUAUUGUUUUGAAUAAAAUAGUUCAAAUGAGUCCUGUAUCAUU
rnacentral:lncRNA from 10 species